rnacentral:rRNA from 1 species
CCUAAGGUAGCGAAAUUCCUUGUCGGGUAAGUUCCGACCUGCACGAAUGGAGUAAUGAUGGCGGCGCUGUCUCCACCCGAGACUCAGUGAAAUUGAAAUCGCUGUGAAGAUGCAGUGUACCCGCGGCAAGACGGAAAGACCCCGUGAACCUUUACUAUAGCUUGGCACUGGACUCUGACACUAUCUGUGUAGGAUAGGUGGGAGACUUUGAAGCGUGGUCGCUAGACUGCGUGGAGUCAACCUUGAAAUACCACCCUGGUAUUGUCGGGGUUCUAACGCUGACCCGUCAUCCGGGUUGCGGACAGUGUCUGGUGGGUAGUUUGACUGGGGCGGUCUCCUCCCAAAGAGUAACGGAGGAGCACGAAGGUACCCUCAGCAUGGUCGGAAAUCAUGCAAUGAGCGCAAUGGUAGAAGGGUGCUUAACUGCGAGACCCACAAGUCGAGCAGGUACGAAAGUAGGUCAUAGUGAUCCGGUGGUUCUGUAUGGAAGGGCCAUCGCUCAACGGAUAAAAGGUACUCCGGGGAUAACAGGCUGAUUCCGCCCAAGAGUUCACAUCGACGGCGGAGUUUGGCACCUCGAUGUCGGCUCAUCACAUCCUGGGGCUGAAGCCGGUCCCAAGGGUAUGGCUGUUCGCCAUUUAAAGUGGUACGCGAGCUGGGUUCAGAACGUCGUGAGACAGUUCGGUCCCUAUCUGUCGUGGGCGUUGGAGAUUUGAGAAGAGUUGCUCCUAGUACGAGAGGACCGGAGUGAACGAACCUCUGGUGUUCGGGUUGUCACGCCAGUGGCAUUGCCCGGUAGCUAUGUUCGGACGGGAUAACCGCUGAAAGCAUCUAAGCGGGAAGCCUCCUUCAAGAUGAGAUCUCCCUGGGGCUUUAAGUCCCCUGAAGGGCCGUCGAAGACUACGACGUUGAUAGGUUGGGUGUGUAAGCGCUGCGAGGCGUUGAGCUAACCAAUACUAAUUGCCCGUGAGGCUUGACCAU